rnacentral:rRNA from 1 species
UACGUAGGUGGCGAGCGUUGUCCGGAUUUACUGGGCGUAAAGCGUGCGCAGGCGGCUUUGCAAGACAGAUGUGAAAUCCCCGGGCUUAACCUGGGAACUGCAUUUGUGACUGCAUGGCUGGAGUGCGGCAGAGGGGGAUGGAAUUCCGCGUGUAGCAGUGAAAUGCGUAGAUAUGCGGAGGAACACCGAUGGCGAAGGCAAUCCCCUGGGCCUGCACUGACGCUCAUGCACGAAAGCGUGGGGAGCAAACAGG